AUGGCUCGUGCUGUUGUUCCGUUGAAUUUUAAUGUGUUCCUUGAGAAAGCAAAGUUGAAAGAUGAUGGUAGCAAUUACACGGACUGGGUCCGUAACUUGAGGAUUAUCCUCAUUGCUGCACAGAAAAAUUACGUCCUGGAAGCACCGCUGGGUGCCAGGCCUGCUGCUGGAGCAACACCAGAUGUUAUGAACGUCUGGCAAAGCAAAGCUGAUGACUACUCGAUAGUUCAGUGUGCCAUGCUUUACGGCUUAGAAUCGGGACUUCAACGACGUUUUGAACGUCAUGGAGCAUAUGAGAUGUUCCAGGAGUUGAAGUUAAUAUUUCAAGCAAAUGCUCGAAUUGAGAGAUAUGAAGUCUCCAAUAAGUUCUAUAGCUGCAAGAUGGAGGAGAACAGUUCUGUCAGUGAGCAUAUACUCAAAAUGUCUGGGUAUAAUAAUCACUUGAUUCAAUUGGGAGUUAAUCUUCUAGAUGAUUGCGUCAUUGACAGAAUUCUCCAAUCACUGCCACCAAGCUACAAGAGCUUCGUGAUGAACUAUAAUAUGCAAGGGAUGAACAAGACUAUUUCCGAGCUCUUCGCAAUGCUGAAAGCUGCGGAGGUAGAAAUCAAGAAGGAGCAUCAAGUGUUGAUGGUUAACAAGACCACUAGUUUCAAGAAAAAGGGCAAAGGGAAGAAAAAGGGGAACUUCAAGAAGAACGGCAAGCAAGUUGCUGCUCAAGAGAAGAAACCCAAGUCUGGACCUAAGCCUGAAACUGAGUGCUUCUACUGCAAGCAGACUAGUCACUGGAAGCGGAACUGCCCCAAGUAUUUGGCGGAUAAGAAGGAUGGCAAGGUGAACAAAGGGACUACGGAAUAA
rnacentral:rRNA from 1 species